ensembl:snRNA U6 U6 spliceosomal RNA
GUGCUUGCUUCAGCAGCACAUAUACUAAAAAACUAGAACAAUAUAGAGAAGAUUAGCAUGGUCCCUGUGCAGGGAGGACAUGCAAACUCAUGAAAUGCUCCAUAUUUUU